AGUUAAUAUAUGCCUGGCACAUAGUAAGGGCUCCAGAAAAAUCAGUUACUGAAAUGAUUAAUCGCGGGCCUCAUCAGAGCCUUUGAUGGGGUACUAGGAUAACACGUAAGUAUUUAACCUCUGAAGUGGAGCUAAUAAUAUUAAUAAAUAUGUCACAAAGUUGUGUGAAGGGCAGCAGGGCUGAGUGGUUAAGAACAGGGAUGCUGGCGUCAGUCUAUUUGGGCUCUCCCACUUGCUUGCUGUAUGAACUCGGACAGGUGACUUCACCUCUCUGGGCCUCAGUUUCUUCAUCUGUUAAAUGGGCAUACGCAUAGUACCAAUCCCAUAGGGUUAUUAUGAGAAUUUUUUUUUUUCCAGUUUGUAAAGCACUCACAACCGUGCCUGGCACUAAGUGCCACGUAAGUGUUUCCCUAACAAAAUAGAUAGUUUCAACCAAAUAAAAAAGGAAGCACGCAGAGUGAGACUCAAGAGCUCCAGAGGCAGGUUACGGAAAGCAGUUACCGCCCAAUUUAUGUGACGUGAGUUUUCUUGGUCAGGAAGCACUUUGAGGGACCAGGGUGUCAAGGAAUAGCCUUUGGAAAAACGCAACCCUCCACAACCGCCGUGACACGCAUGUGGACUUAGGAAGACAGCAUCCGUUUCUCAUCUGCUCCAACACCCCCUAUGGGACUAAUCGUGAUCUGGGAAGCAACUCUCCCCAUUACCCUGCAUCUGGGCCUGCCCUCUGGCUUGACUUCGAGUGCCCCAGUGGGAGCCCCGGGCCCCCUGCCCUGGCCACAGGCCAUACUCACGGGUUGGUUGUAGAGAGGAUAAACAUAGAGCUGUAGGGGGGCAUGGGCUUGGGGCCGUCUUCCCCAGGGUCGUCUUCCUCCUCCUCCUUCUUCUCUUCCUCCUUUUUUGGCAGUGGGUCUGGGUUGGCGUUUUUGUUCACUGUGGGGACAAGAACCAACACAGGGCUCCCUCCGUGGUUUCCCACAAGCCUCUGGGCUCCUGUCCGCUCCCCAGGGCUGACAUUUAUAACGUGCCUACUAUGUGCCAGGCACCACGGUAUGUCGUUGAAUCCUCACGUGACCCUACGAGGUUUGUACUUGAUAAGCUCCGUUUUACAGAUGAUGCAGCUGCGGCACAGAGAGGUGAAGUGACUUGCCUAAGGUCACACGGAUUUCAACCUGGUCCCAGAGUGGUCCCUGCACUCGACCACUCGAUAGACAACCUUGAGUCUGGUGGGACCCUCACAGGAUAUUAACACAAACCUGCCCCCAUCCCACCGGACUUCAUUUGGAGGCAGGUAACCUGAGCCCCAAGAGCCCCGCUUUACAGAUGGUAAUACUGAGCUCUCUCUUCGUCAAACUGCAGGGUUUGCCCCCCAUUAACCCCUCUCUCUUGAUGGGAAGCGUCACUACCCUCCUGAGCGUUGAUUCUGCAGCCUAACCUUGCUAGGAGUCGGUGGGCAGGCGGAGUGUCCCUGAGCCUCAGUAUUUCCAUCUGUAAAAUGGGUAUAGUGACCAGAGUCACCCUGUGGGACUGUGGUGGGCGUUUAUUAAGCAGACUCACGGAAAUCUCCUACACAGAACCGACAAGUAAGAGGAACCAUCUAGUUACAUCUAGUUCAGAAAUAAGAAGCCCGGUGGGUCGUUUCUAAGUUCUUAGUGCUCCUCUGACCCCAAUCGCACAGGGUGGGGGGUCUGGGGGUCAAAAACUGCCAGUCUCUCAAGGGUCUAGGCCUGAGCCGUGGAACAGUGGCUAGUCCAAACCACGAAAGGCUGUAAGUGUAAAACACACUGAAUUUCUAAGACAGAGCACAGGAAUAAGAACGUAAAAUAGACAACUAAUCACGCGAAAAAUACUGAUCACAGGUUGAAAUGGUGGCAUUUUGGACAAAUAAAUAACGCUCUGGGUUAAACGCAA